UCUUGCCAUGAGUAAUUUGAAAGAAGACAAGAAUCAAUAUACUUCGUAUGAGCUACAAAGGAUAAAGGCAAUGUGAUGCUUUAAGCCGUCUCAAAGGUGCACAUUUUAAAAAUUAUUUUUAAAAUUUCAUGUAAAUCCUUUCCUUCUAAUACGGCAUUAUGAGAUCUUUUUCCACCUUGAGCUUUUCUCCAAACACAUGUAAUUGCUCCCUCUAUUAUUUGA
rnacentral:lncRNA from 1 species